rnacentral:rRNA from 1 species
GACGAACGCUGGCGGCGUGCCUAAUACAUGCAAGUAGAACGCACAGUUUAUACCGUAGCUUGCUACACCAUAGACUGUGAGUUGCGAACGGGUGAGUAACGCGUAGGUAACCUGCCUGGUAGCGGGGGAUAACUAUUGGAAACGAUAGCUAAUACCGCAUAAUAUUGAUUAUUGCAUGAUAAUUGAUUGAAAGAUGCUAUUGCAUCACUACCAGAUGGACCUGCGUUGUAUUAGCUAGUAGGUGAGGUAACGGCUCACCUAGGCGACGAUACAUAGCCGACCUCAGAGGGUGUCCGCCAACACUGGAACUGAGACACGGCCAGACUCCUACGGGAGGCAGCAGUAGGGAAUCUUCGGCAAUGGACGAAAGUCUGACCGAGCAACGCCGCGUGAGUGAAGAAGGUUUUCGGAUCGUAAAGCUCUGUUGUAAGAGAAGAACGGGUGUGAGAGUGGAAAGUUCACACUGUGACGGUAUCUUACCAGAAAGGGACGGCUAACUACGUG